rnacentral:rRNA from 1 species
AUUGAACGCUGGCGGCAGGCCUAACACAUGCAAGUCGAAUGGUAACAGGAAACAGCUUGCUGUUUCGCUGACGAGUGGCGGACGGGUGAGUAAUGUCUGGGAAACUGCCUGAUGGAGGGGGAUAACUACUGGAAACGGUAGCUAAUACCGCAUAACGUCGCAAGACCAAAGAGGGGGACCUUCGGGCCUCUUGCCAUCAGAUGUGCCCAGAUGGGAUUAGCUAGUAGGUGGGGUAACGGCUGACCUAGGCGACGAUCCCUAGCUGGUCUGAGAGGAUGACCAGCCACACUGGAGCUGGGGCACGGUCCAGACUCCUACGGGAGGCAGCAGUGGGGAAUAUUGCACAAUGGGCGCAAGCCUGCUGCAGCCGUGCCGCGUGUAUGAAGAAGGCCUUCGGGUUGUAAAGUACUUUCAGCGGGGAGGAAGGGAGUAAGGUUAAUACCUUUGCUCAUUGACGUUACCCGCAGAAGAAGCACCGGCUAACUCCGUG